rnacentral:rRNA from 1 species
AGAGUUUGAUCAUGGCUCAGGAUGAACGCUGGCGGCGUGCCUAAUACAUGCAAGUCGAACGAGAGCCAUUGUAGCAAUACGAUGGUUUCUAGUGGCGAACGGGUGAGUAACGCGUUGGUGAUCUGCCUCGAAGUGAGGGAUAACAGUCCGAAAGGAUUGCUAAUACCCCAUGUGGCUGCAAGACUUAGAAUCUUGCUACUAAAGAAGCAAUUCGCUUCGAGAGGAGCCUGCGUCCCAUCAGCUAGUUGGUAGGGUAAUGGCCUACCAAGGCUCAGACGGGUAGGGGACCUGAGAGGGUGACCCCCCACACUGGAACUGAAACACGGUCCAGACACCUAUGGGUGGCAGCAGUAGGGAAUAUUGCACAAUGGGCGAAAGCCUGAUGCAGCAACGCCGCGUGUACGAUGAAGGCCUUCGGGUUGUAAAGUACUUUUAUGAGGGAAGAGCAAGGACUUACCUCAGAAUAA